rnacentral:rRNA from 1 species
UACGGGGGGGGCAAGCGUUGUUCGGAAUUACUGGGCGUAAAGGGCUCGUAGGCGGCCAACUAAGUCAGACGUGAAAUCCCUCGGCUUAACCGGGGAACUGCGUCUGAUACUGGAUGGCUUGAGUUUGGGAGAGGGAUGCGGAAUUCCAGGUGUAGCGGUGAAAUGCGCAGAUAUCAGGAGGAACACCGGUGGCGAAGGCGGGUCUCUGGGCCGAUACUGACGUUGAGGAGCGAAAGCGUGGGGAGCGAACAGG